rnacentral:rRNA from 1 species
CCUACGGGAGGCAGCAGUAGGGAAUAUUGGACAAUGGGUGAGAGCCUGAUCCAGCCAUGCCGCGUGCAGGAAGAAGGCGUUAUGCGUUGUAAACUGCUUUUGCCAGGGGAUAAAAUAACUGUGCGCAGUUGAUUGAAGGUACCUGGUGAAUAAGCCACGGCUAACUACGUGCCAGCAGCCGCGGUAAUACGUAGGUGGCAAGCGUUGUCCGGAUUUAUUGGGUUUAAAGGGUGCGUAGGUGGCUGUCUAAGUCAGUGGUGAAAUAUCUCAGCUUAACUGAGAGGGUGCCAUUGAUACUGGAUAGCUUGAGUACAGAUGAGGUAGGCGGAAUUGACGGUGUAGCGGUGAAAUGCAUAGAUAUCGUCAAGAACACCGAUAGCGAAGGCAGCUUACCAAGCUGUAACUGACACUGAGGCACGAAAGUGUGGGGAUCAAACAGG